UUGAAAGAGCGCUCAUUUCUUUACCACGUUAAAAGGGCUGCAACAUGUAGAAGCUGGAGUUCAAGAAUAUCUCGUGCAAAAGCAACAACUUCAAAUUUUGUUCGACACUUAAACCCCCGCAGCACGGGGAGAACAUGCAAGCUCCACAAACACAGGACCACGGUGGGAAUCGAAUCAUAAGUUGCGAUGGAACUGAACAGGAAACAUGGCGAGCACAUCACACACGACACUGCUGCCAAACUUAUUUACGGAUUCAAAAAGACUGGAACUGUUGCGGAUCGACCGAGAAGAACUGGACGUCCACUGAGCAUGAACAUCCACUGACGAAGAGAAGAAUGUCCUGACAAUAAGAUUUUAACAGUGGAGUAUCCGUGUAUCAGAGCAGGAGGAGAGCGUGGCACAUGCCUCAGGAGGAAGUGCUGUAAAGGUUUCAGGUUCGUCAUGGGCCAGUGUGUACCAGAAAGUAGGUAAAAUCUUGUUUUGUUUUAUUUUUUAAAUUCUCAUCAGCUUUUUAAAUUCACACACUCUGCGGUUAUUAAAACUGAUUAACUACAUGUUCUCAGUUCGUUUCAUUAUAUUUCAUUAUAUUUGAUCAAUCGACCUUUUAAAUAAAGUACUUUCAGUGCGGUAUCAGGUCG
ensembl:lncRNA